CGGCGAACGGGUGAGUAACACGUGGGUGAUCUGCCCUGCACUCUGGGAUAAGCCUGGGAAACUGGGUCUAAUACCGGAUAGGACCAUGCUUUAGUGUGUGUGGUGGAAAGUUUUUCGGUGUAGGAUGAGCCCGCGGCCUAUCAGCUUGUUGGUGGGGUAAUGGCCUACCAAGGCGGCGACGGGUAGCCGGACUGAGAGGUUGGUCGGCCACAUUGGGACUGAGAUACGGCCCAG
rnacentral:rRNA from 1 species